UUGUUGGUAAGGUAAAAGCUUACCAAGGCUUCGAUCAGUAGCUGGUCUGAGAGGACGACCAGCCACACUGGGACUGAGACACGGCCCAGACUCCUACGGGAGGCAGCAGUGGGGAAUUUUGGACAAUGGGGGCAACCCUGAUCCAGCCAUGCCGCGUGAGUGAAGAAGGCCUUCGGGUUGUAAAGCUCUUUCAGCCGGAACGAAACGGUUACGGAUAACACCCGUGACUACUGACGGUACCGGAAGAAGAAGCACCGGCUAACUACGUGCCAGCAGCCGCGGUAAUACGUAGGGUGCGAGCGUUAAUCGGAAUUACUGGGCGUAAAGCGUGCGCAGGUGGUUUUGUAAGUCAGAUGUGAAAGCCCCGGGCUCAACCUGGGAACUGCGUUUGAAACUACAAGACUAGAGUGUGGCAGAGGGGGGUGGAAUUCCGCGUGUAGCAGUGAAAUGCGUAGAGAUGUGGAGGAACACCGAUGGCGAAGGCAGCCCCCUGGGUCAACACUGACGCUCAGGCACGAAAGCAUGGGGAGCAAACAGGAUUAGAUACCCUGGUAGUCCAUGCCCUAAACGAUGUCAACUAGUUGUCGGGCCUUUACGGGCUUGGUAACGUAGCUAACGCGUGAAGUUGACCGCCUGGGGAGUACGAUCGCAAGAUUAAAACUCAAAUGAAUUGACGGGGACCCGCACAAGCGGUGGAUUAUGUGGAUUAAUUCGAUGCAACGCGAAGAACCUUACCUACCCUUGACAUGUAUCGAAGCCCGCAGAAAAGCGGGGGUGCCCGAAAGGGAACGAUAACACAGGUGCUGCAUGGCUGUCGUCAGCUCGUGUCGUGAGAUGUUGGGUUAAGUCCCGCAACGAGCGCAACCCUUGUCAUUAAUUGCCAUCAUUUAGUUGGGCACUUUAAUGAGACUGCCGG
rnacentral:rRNA from 1 species